rnacentral:lncRNA from 1 species
AGAUGGAGAGGACGCUCUGCCAUUUAGAGGUCCUACUGAGUGGGCACACCUUUUCCCCUCGAGAAAACCUUGUUUCUACCAGAGAAAUGGGCAGAGGCCUCUCUCUGGAACUUGAACCUCUCUGUCCCUGGAAACAUCCCAAAGCAGGCCCAGCCUGCCAUGUUCCUUUGUUGGGGCACAGAGGGAAUGGAAUCUUACCGAUAAGGUGAGAAGAGCUUGAGAGAAUACCAAGGACGGGCCCACCCUUCUCCCUCCUCCCUCCAAACACCUCAGGCUAAAAGGGGAGGGAAAAAAAAGGCACCAACAAAGAGUUUAAGACAGCAAUUCCCAGCUUUUUCAAAUAUGAAGCAUUUUUUAACCAAUCCGUUUUUUAAUUCUUAAAUUCUUGACAUU